CAACGAUUGCGACCCCAGGUCAGGC
rnacentral:rRNA from 1 species